UAAGUAGUACGAAACAUUGAUUAUAUUAGGGGUUGUUUAAUUGGUUGCAUGCAUUUUCAACUGCAUUGUAAUUAAAAAUGUAUGCAUCUAUUAAUUUUUUAUUUCGAUUGGUAUAGUUAGGCCCAACUGCAACAAUUGGAUCUGCACGAAAAGGUCCAAUUGUUGUAGUACCAAUUGCAGCAGUUGAGCCGGAGUCGGCUUACCCUUUAAAAAUAUAAACAAAAUGUGAUUUUUUUUUUCAUACGCUUCUUUUUAAAUUUUUAUUUUUUCAAAAAUAUAUAUUCAUGAAAUCUGAUAGGAUUUAGUAAUGUCUAUUAGGGCCAAUAAAUUUUAUCAUAUGAUUUCUUACUUUUUAGUAUGCUAGUUUAAUAAUAUCUUAAUUUUUAUUUUGACCAAAUUUAUAAUAUAUUUACAUUUAAAAUUUAUUAAAUUCAUAUAUAACUUUAUAAUAUAUAAAUUAUAUAUAGAUAUAAAAGUCUUAAUUAAUAAUUAAAACACGAUUACGUUAUGCUCAGAAGAGAUAAUCUUACCUUUCUAUCUAAAAAUUAACAGAAUUUAUAAAUACAAAUUUCAACUGCAGACUACCAAACAGAAAAAAUAUAACUGCAGCAGUUGCAACUGAAUAAAACCAAACAGACUAGAUGUAAUUAAGACUGCAGCAUUUACAACUGCUUAUAUUUCUAACUACACUAUUUUUGUAAUUAACUACAUCCAAGCAAACGGCCUCUUAGUGUAAUAUGUCAUAUUAGAAUAUACCUUAUUAUGAGCAAAUUAAGCAAUGCAAGCAAAGACCAUCGAAUGACUCAAAUUUUAUAAGAAACAUGGUAAAAGAUUAAAAAAUCGGAAUUAAAACAAAUCAUAGUCCAAAAUAUAUAAUUUCCUUGUAUUUUUAC
rnacentral:lncRNA from 1 species